UUAGAAAUGUGAAUUAAGUUUGAAGCGAUUUGGUUCGUCACAAGGGCAAUUCUGCAUUUUUUAACUAGUAUUGCACUUGAGACGGCCUGAUUACUUUAAAACGAAUCAUUUUAUGAGCAA
rnacentral:precursor_RNA from 15 species